rnacentral:lncRNA from 12 species
UGACUUCUAAUCUGUGCAAAGACUGUAAAGUUGUUUAUUUCUUGAUUUUGCAGAAUGUAGCCUGGAUUUUUUAAAAGGUUUCAAGAAACAGGGAAUAAAUUGAUCAUAUUAAUUUCUGGGGCAGAAGAAGUCCCUGGUGUUCUGGCACAGCUGUUGGGGAUCUCUAUGAAGUUUGAAUGUUUCCACCUUCACUUCUGCAAGUGCUGCAGAGUAAGCAGAAACAAAAUAUCUAGUGCUGUUCCCCCAAGAAAAUGAUAAUUGCCUUCAAACUGUAACAGCUCAGGCCGGG